UCCAAAGUACCUGUUUACUAUAUUCCUUCUCAUCUUACUGACUGCCCAUCUACUUAAGAUGGGGGCUUUAUUAGAUUGGACUAUGUCUAGAGUUGGAGGGCUCUUCCACCUUUCUCUAAGCCACAAAGACCCCUUGCAUUAAACAUGCCACUCUACCUACGUUCCAGGUUUGCACUCUGGUAAACUAAAUAUGUACAUCUAAAAAUGUUAUCAAAAAAACUCACAAUCAACACCCAGGAGAAAAAGGCAACUUAAAGGCCUUGACAUACCAUGACUGGAUGACCAAGUUCCACUCUAACAUAUCGUUUUCAAUAUAGCUGCUUAGGGUGCAAUUAUGCACUGGUCAAUACACUGUCUGCUCAGAAAAAGAAAAGGAAAUAAGCAGAAAAGAAUGACUAAAGUGAUUCCUUACCAGAAUAUCUGUAGUUUUGUAUCGUUGUUGUCCCUCAGAGAUAAAUGAUCCAUAUUGGAAAACAGCUGAUCUUUCUUCUACUGCCACCUUCUCAUCUGACUGAAUAACAGACUAGAAGGUAUUAAUUAGACUUAAGGCCCCCUGGUGUUUAAAAUGCCUCUGUCCCUCUCCCUUGACGUUAUCACAACUUAGUGGAUCUAUUCAAACAAGACAGGGCAAUAAUACUUUGUUGUCUCAUUUUUCAAUCUGCCACAACAGCCACCUCCAACAACCUAAAAAAAAAUCACGUGCUUUAACGGAGGGAAAUGUUUCAACUUUUAGUAUUGUUUUAAGUUGCUAUUUCCCCCAAUAAAGUCUUUAAAAAUAACUGUACAAUGCAAGAAACUGACUUCACAAUAAUUUUUAUAGUUAAAUUAGAGAAAAACCUAGGGACCCAAGUUAAAACAUUGCGUUUGAAACAAUCACCCAUUAAAUAUUUAAAAUACCUACUUGAGAUUGUUCCUUUGCAUUUUACGUUUCACGUUGCACAACACAAGUGGUCUCCAUCUCAGCUGAGCACAAAAAGUAAGAACAUUUCUGUUUGAUCCAGUAAUUCUUUGUUGUAACUGUCAGGAUCUGGGUUGUGUUUGUGUUUUUGUGCUUGCUACAUGUGUUCAGUGUUUUCAGAUGGUGCUGGAGUUCUCAGGUGUGCUGGGUGACAGGUGCGACUUAUUCUACUGAUUACUUUGAGGAGUACUUAAGCAGGAGGCUGCCAGCACUUCAAUGACAGAGUGUUUUGCCCUCAGUGGUAACAAGCUCAAGCCAAACACUAAGUCUAUGGUUUGUUCUUUGACCUUGUGUAACUUUGUUUAUGCUCCUUCGCAGGCUAAGUAAACCUAAACCCUGGAUUUAUGUCACUGAAUACUGACUACGUGUCCGGAAGUCUUUCUGGAUGAUCAAGACUAUAUACGUUCUGAGGACUUCAUUUCCUAUCUCCUGACUUUGUUUGGAUUUGCAUCAAGCUGGCAGUUUCCUGCUACUUUAGUCUCCUGGACCAAGUCGUAAGCGUAUCCUGUCCACCCUCCAAUGUAAGCAUCUGCACACCGAACUCAUUCCUGUUUGCUCCAAGCUCACACAGAACAGCACCUAAAGAACCUACAAACUCAGUCCCGACAAACCUGGUUCCUGAAUCCCUCUACCCCUGGCGACCUGACCACACCUAUUUAGUAAACUGUUCUCUUGAUUACAUUACUUCCUUGUUCUUAGUUCGAUAUCCUUCAGUUCCCUGUUUUCACCAGUUCUCUUCCCAUACAGUUGGAGAAUCACCCGUUACAUUCCUGAUUAUCAUUCUCUCAAACAUCUUUUACUUAAUGUGUUCUCUGUAUGUGGGUCAGAUCUAUUGCAAACAAAAUGACAGUAACAUCUUCUUGCCAGUCUUAAACUGUUAAGCUAUUGUAUUUCACUUUAAAUAGUGACACUUUUGUAGGGAAAAUGCAUUUGCAGAUUGAGCACCAGAGUUUAGCAUGUGAGUUGCACCUAUGAAAAAGUUGCCAAACUCUUUCUGUCAAUGCUAAACAGCUUCUGGUGGAGGCAGAGUGAUGGUGUGGGGUUGCAUUAUUGGAGGCAAUCUCAAUGAAAAGGGACAGAGGUGUGAUUCUGCAGCCAGUGGCAAUCCUAUUGAGAACCCACGCAUGCACAGGUGGUUACCCCCGGGACCUUCUUGCUGCAAGGCUCAUGCCAAGACGAUUAGAGGAGGCAACUCACUCCAUAAUCGAAACGAAAUCUCAGUUACAGGUUGAAAUGGAGUUUUGACAAAAAUUCAAGUUGGAAGACUCACCUCCAUUUCCGGCUCCGUCUAACUACUCCACCACGUUCUCUGCUCCAACCAAUCAGCUCCUGAUCCACAUUCCUCUUCAGCCAAUCAUCCCUCCAGGCUUUGCUUUAAAAGACCUUCAUACACAGAAUCUCCUGCUCUUCAGCUGAGCUUCGACCCUCCUCCACCCCAUCUACACCAUCAGGCUUCAAGCUCCUUCCGACUCCCUUAUCUUCUCACGCCUCCACUCCACCACCAGUAUAAGGGUCCCGGGGGGAAGACUUCUCUAAUUCUAACCCUAAGAUGUUCAUUCAAGCUCAUGUCAUUAUCAGCAUCCAUGUCCAAGAAAAUAAACAUCAGCUAAUAAAUGUCUCUAAUUGCCAUGUUUCUCAUGCUGUUUCUCUCAUUUGUGAGUCUUUCCAGGUUGAAAUGGAUAAUCCAUACUGCUUUUUCAUUUUCUUCUUCAAGACUGCUUAUUCCGUUACUUUGUUAAAAUGAUAAAUAAAAUAACGUUUAACAUUUCAUGUUCAAAAGAUGUCCCAGCAAAAAGUCACUAAAAUUAAUUUUGAAAUGUCAAAUUUGAAAAUUAAAAUGUAUUAACAGAAAUGAUUUUUCAUUUUAAAGUCAUAGCUGCA